rnacentral:rRNA from 1 species
AGAGUUUGAUCCUGGCUCAGGAUGAACGCUAGCUACAGGCUUAACACAUGCAAGUCGAGCGGAACUGCUUCGGCAGUUAGCGGCAGACGGGUGAGUAACACGUAUCCAACCUUCCCCUUACUCGGGUAUAGCCUCGGGAAACUGAGAGUAAUCCCCGAUGUGGUGUACGCUUCGCAUGUAAUGCACACCAAAGAUUAAUCGGUAAGGGAUGGGGAUGCGUUCCAUUAGCUAGUAGGCGGGGUAACGGCCCACCUAGGCGAUGAUGGAUAGGGGUUCUGAGAGGAAGGUCCCCCACAUUGGAACUGCGACACGGUCCAAACUCCUACGGGAGGCAGCAGUGAGGAAUAUUGGUCAAUGGCCGAGAGGCUGAACCAGCCAAGUAGCGUGCCAGGAUGACGGCCCUACGGGUUGUAAACUGCUUUUGUGCGGGAAUAACGGUCGACACGUGUGUUGAUGUGCAUGUACCGUACGAAUAAGGAUCGGCUAACUCCGUGCCAGCCGCCGC